rnacentral:lncRNA from 1 species
AGAGAGCAAAUUAGAAUCCAAGGAAGUUGACAUGUCAUCACUUCAUUUUUUUGCGCCUGCGCAUAAAUCUGAGAAACGUGAGUUUUGUCUUCAUUGUUUAUCUCGACAUAGGAUAGGUUGUGUGAAAAUAUUACUGAUGUUUAACGUUAAAAAUGGACCAAAAGAUUAAUGCUAAACAACAUUUGACAUGUUUGAACAAACAUAAAUAGAUUAUUUACUAGGUUUUUUAGCUUUUCGGGCGUGAUUUUACAGUCCCCCACCACGUUUUGUGGGAGCAUAAUGAACACUAAGUACUUGGUGUUAUUUGGACAUAAAUUAUGAACUUUGUCAAAAGAAACCACAUUUGUUCCGGACCUGUGAUGCCUUCCGGACCUGGGAUGCCAGUCUUCUGAUGGAGAUAAUCAAAGCACCAUGAACUGUCCAUUUCCAAUUGACUGUGCCGCGACUGCUGCUUCAAGUUUCAGCACGGAAAUGUCACUGUCCUUUCCGGCAGUAUAUGCCCAGCAAGCCAGCAAAGUAUGGCAUCAAGAUAUGGGUGGCCUGUGACGCACAAUCCAGCUUUGCUUGGAAGAUGCAAGUCUACACAGGGAAGCCGACCAGUGGAAGCCCGGAGAAGAACCAGGGGAUGCGGGUUUUGCUUGAUGUGACAGAUGGACUGAGGGGGCACAAUGUCACAUGUGACAAUUUCUUCACCUCUUAUGAACUCAGCCAGUAGCUCCUGAAGAGGAAGAUCACUGUGGUUGGUACAAUUAGAAAGAACAAGCCUGAGCUCCCCCCUGAACUCCUCACAAGGGGAGAGAGGCCUUCUCAUCAAAGUUAGCCUUCACCCCCACCACCAGUCUAGUUUCUUACCUCCCAAAUAGGAACAAGAAUGUGGUCCUCCUGAGCACACUGCACAAAACGGCUGAGAUCAGUGACCGUGAGGACAGGAAGCCAGGCAUCAUCCUGGACUACAACCACAACAAAGGAGGCGUGUACAACCUGGAUAAGGUGAUUGGAACUUACAGCUGCAGGAGGAUGACUGCCCGCUGGCCCCUGGUCAUCUUCCAUAACAUCAUUGAUGUGUCCUCAUACAAUGCCUUUGUGAUAUGGAACAAGAUCAACCCUACCUGGAUGCCUGAUAAGCGGAAACAAGAGGAGGGUGUUCCUGGAGCAGCUGGGAAAGGCACUUGUAACCCCACACAUUCAAAGAAGGGAGUGCCUCCCCUGCACAACAGCCUCUUCAGCGCUUGUGAAAGCUGUUCAGUGGGCUGAAUCUUUUCCUGAUCCACCUGAGGCUGCAGCUGGGGCCGACAAGAGGAGGAGAUGCCAAUUCUGUAAAACAAAUACUAUGUGCUCCACAUGUGAGAAAUACAUCUGCAAAGGCCAUUUAUACACACUUGCAUACUGUCCUACAUGUGCUAAUUAGAGUUGAUAGAUUUAUGUUCUUCACGCUUUUGUUUUGUAUCUAUCUUAUUUAUUGUUUAUACACCUUGAGGGUGGGGGCAAUGGUUCAAAAAAUGGGAGAAGACUAGUAUUUUGUUUGUACAGUAUAAGAAUAUUACUAUGUUGCCAAAAAAGUUCAAGACUGUUAUUGUUUCCCUUCAAUAAAAC